rnacentral:rRNA from 1 species
UGGGGAAUCUUCCGCAAUGGACGAAAGUCUGACGGAGCAACGCCGCGUGUAUGAUGAAGGUCUUCGGAUUGUAAAGUACUGUCAUUGGGGAAGAACGGUUUUCUUGAAAAGAUUGAGAAGACAUGACGGUACCCAAGGAGGAAGCCCCGGCUAACUACGUGCCAGCAGCCGCGGUAAUAUGUAGGGGGCAAGCGUUGUCCGGAAUUAUUGGGCGUAAAGGGCGCGUAGGCGGGCCUUUAAGUCCGGUGUGAAAGAUCAGGGCUCAACCCUGAGAGUGCAUCGGAAACUGGAGGCCUUGAGGACAGGAGAGGAAAGUGGAAUUCCACGUGUAGCGGUGAAAUGCGUAGAUAUGUGGAGGAACACCAGUGGCGAAGGCGACUUUCUGGACUGUAACUGACGCUGAGGCGCGAAAGCGUGGGGAGCAAACAGGAUUAGAUACCCUGGUAGUCCACGCCGUAAACGAUGAGUGCUAGGUGUAGAGGGUAUCGACCCCUUCUGUGCCGCAGUUAACACAAUAAGCACUCCGCCUGGGGAGUACGGCCGCAAGGUUGAAACUCAAAUGAAUUGACGGGGUCAUAGCUGUUUCCU